GUAGAUAUAGUUUAACAAAAACACUAGAUUGUGGAUCCAGUAAUAGAAUCUUAAAUAUUCUUAUCUACC
rnacentral:tRNA from 1 species